UUUAGAAUUUAAAUAAUAAUGCUCUGUUUAGUUUCAUCAUGAACACAUUUACAUUCACAAAUGUCAACUUUUAUAACAAACAUGAAAUAAAUGUAAAUCAAAUAUCUUUUAAUACUGUAACCAAAGAAUAAAGUAGCAAUAUAAAAUGUACUUAGUACAAGAUAGAUAAUGUCAAAUCAAAUGAUUUGCUCUCACGUAAAACUCAAAUCUAACUAAAUCAUAAAAGAUAGUAACUUCAGCGUGUAAGUACGUUAAGAUCACUCCUAAUUCGAAUUAAUUUCCUUAACUUCUAGACUAAAUCUUAUAAAACCAGCUCUCCAAAAGUUAAGCUUUUCAUUGCCAGUAAUUGACAUGUAUCACUUCCUUAAAAAAUGCUGCACAAGAAGUCACAAAAAAAAAGGAAUUAUAACUUUUUAAUAAAGUAAAUUAUUUCCUCCUCUAAAACAAUUGGAAUACCAAAAAUAAUAACUGAUUGAGGUUCUAAAAGAGAAACAAUUUGAUAAUGAAUGUAAUACUAGCAGCUGGAGAGAGAAAGAAACAAACAACAUAAAGCAAAAAAUCCAACAAAGUGAACGCAACCGCCCAAACCCAACAACAACAGAAAUAAUCUAAUAUCAUAAUACAGUCGAAGAUAUGUUUUUGGUUGUGGGAGGAUGUGGGAGAGAGGAGGGUUGAAUUUUGAAAUAUUAGUUUCCGUAAAUGGUAUAGUGAGUUGAAAACUAAUGAAUGUUAUAUAAGUUUUGCAAACUAUAACAUGAACAGUGGGUUGCUCUAGUGGUGAGUGCCCUCCACUUCCAACCAAGAGGUUAUGAGUUCGAGUCACCCCAAGAGUAAGGUGGAGAGUUCUUGGAGGGAGGGAGCCGAGGGUCUAUCGAAAACAACCUCUCUACCCUAGGGUAGGGGUAAGGUCUGCGUACAAACUAUCCUCCCCAGACCCCACUAGUAGAUUAUACUGGGUUGUUAUUGUUGUUAUUGUUGUAAACUAUAACAUGAAGGGCUUCUCCCUUUGAAAAGGAAGAACAAGAAUCUUAUAAUUUUUUCAAACUUACCCGCUUCUUUUUCUUUGUGCCAACUUCACUAACUCCAGUCUUCUUGAUUAUGUUAACCUGAGAAGAAAUAUAAGAUUGGUUACUCUGGUAGUUUAGAAAAUUGUAAAUACAAGAUAUAAAAAACAGGACAAAGUCAAAUAAUAGUUUUUAUUUCCUAAUAUGAUGGCGUUUCAAUCAUAGAUCUUUAUUUUUCUGAUCUAGGCAAAAGUCUUUAAUUUACUCUUUCUUCCAGGUUCUACAAGAGUCUAAAUACCUUAUGUAGGAAGGUAAAAUCAUGCUUGAUGGGAAUCUUAUCAACAUACUGGAACUUAACUACUAAUAAAAACUUCUCAAUCAAAUCCCUUUAUAAUAUGUUUCAUAUUAGUAAUGAUAUCUCCAAAAUCACUAAAGAUACUUCUAUUAAUUGCAUUUGGAAGAUAAGGUCGCUAAAUAAGAUAAAGUAAAUUUGACUUCUAUGCCAAGUAAAAUUACCCACUAAUUAUCUCUUAAGUAAGAGAUUAAUUUAGCUAGCUGAAAUGAACCAUACAUCAGAAUAUACCCUUCAAAUUAUUUUACACUCAAGCAACACAUAAUAGCCACAUAUCCAAAAAAAAAGAAAAAAGGCAGACAUUAGAAUUCUGAACCUUAUAAGAAAUAUGCAAGAGAAGAAACCAAAUAACUUAUAAAUCAAACAUCAUAUGAUGUUAAAAAAUAAUCUAACCUUCCAUGUGAAUAAAGAACAAUUGAAUCAAAUAUAUGAGCAAAAAUAAACUUGUAAAAACUUACGGUGUGACCUAUUUUAUACGACCAAUCAGCCGCACUCCAUCCACAAAUAUAAGCAAAUAACUUUUACAUAAUCCAAUGCAACAUUUUCUUAAUCCUUAAACUCUUGGUAAAGUAAUUUUUCUUUUCCAUGGCAGAGAUAAAUCAAAUUAAGCAACUAAAUGUGGCAAACAUAAACCGCCUUUUAGAUUUGAUUGUCGCAUUAACUUCUUUAGGUCACAGGAUUACAUGGAAUUGUCCUAAAGAAAAGCUCCCUAUCAAUAAAAGUUACUUGAAAGAGGGAGACAAACCCAUGUCCCUACAAAAGACCACCGAGUCAAUAAGCUAGAGAUAAUUCAGUUAAGAAGAAGGAAAAAAUGGUGUGGAAUUGGCUAGAGAGAAACAAUGAAGAUGAUAACCCAGGCUAUUAAAACUAAUCCACUAUGACUUCUCCCUGCUGGCUUAGGGCCGACUGCUAGCCUCUAUGAUCAUCACAACGUCACAAACUUUAGCCACUAUCACUGACCACCCACGUUUAUUACAACUUGAAUUUCAAUCAAAUGCACAUAUGCAAGAAAAGGUGAAAUACUCGGUCACUGCAAAGUUUUUACCAAUAACUUAAACCGACUAUGUGUGCUUAAACAAAGAAUUGUUCUUUUGAAAUUAUCGGAGCCCAUCUGGUUAAAGUGCAACUAGCACAAUUAAACCCUUAGGCAAUAACUCCAAUAUAAUGUAGACACGUAAAAGAUUGUAAUUAACAUUUUCCCAAAAUAGCACAAGCUACAAAUCCAAGAUUCUUUAAAAUGGGAAUGCAACUAUCCCUGAAACCCAUGUGAGGUACAUACCCAAAAAACAUAUACAUAACUUUCUUAAGUUGAAAUUAGACACGAGAAGAAAGUAAAAGCAAUAAACAAAGGCUACACCCAUAGUAACAUCAAUUCGUAAUUUAUAGUUAAAAAGAUAUAGUUAAAAUGAGUUUAGGAACUUACCUUCUUUGUGUGAACAACUGAAACAGAUGAUAGUGAUUGUUGGUGAUCGUCCAUUGAGUUAUCAUAAACCUAUCACAAACUAAUGAAUCUUACAAACUAGUUCACUCCAUUGCCACAAUAUAUAAUAUUUUAUC
rnacentral:lncRNA from 1 species